rnacentral:misc_RNA from 1 species
UUAAGUUCAGCGGGUAGUCCUACCUGAUUUGAGAUCAAACGUUCAAAAGGCUGUCUUCACUGAGGAGAGACAUUUAUGAGCUCCAGCGAACCUCCAUCACUGAAGGUUAUCCGGUGGAAAACCACAGGCGUAGAUAGUUAUCACACCCAUGAUGCCACCAAACACUGGCAAGCUGAUCCAUUUGAGAGGAGCCGACCACA